rnacentral:rRNA from 1 species
UGAUCAGAGAGUUUGAUCCUGGCUCAGGAUGAACGCUGGCGGCGUGCUUAACACAUGCAAGUCGAGCGAGAAAUUCUUUCCAAAGUCUUCGGACAGAGGAAGGAAUAGACAGCGGCGGACGGGUGAGUAACGCGUGGGGAACCUGCCUCGUACCGGGGGAUAACAGUUGGAAACAGCUGCUAAUACCGCAUAAGCGCACAGCAUCGCAUGAUGCCGUGUGAAAAACUCCGGUGGUAUGAGAUGGACCCGCGUUGGAUUAGCUAGUUGGCAGGGCAAAGGCCUACCAAGGCAACGAUCCAUAGCCGGCCUGAGAGGGCGACCGGCCACAUUGGGACUGAGACACGGCCCAGACUCCUACGGGAGGCAGCAGUGGGGAAUCUUGCACAAUGGGCGAAAGCCUGAUGCAGCGACGCCGCGUGAGUGAAGAAGUAUUUCGGUAUGUAAAGCUCUAUCAGCAGGGAAGAAAAUGACGGUACCUGACUAAGAAGCCCCGGCUAACUACGUGCCAGCAGCCGCGGUAAUACGUAGGGGGCAAGCGUUAUCCGGAUUUACUGGGUGUAAAGGGAGCGUAGACGGACCGGCAAGUCUGAAGUGAAAUUCCAGGGCUCAACCCUGGGACUGCUUUGGAAACUGCAGAUCUUGAGUACCGGAGGGGUAAGCGGAAUUCCUAGUGUAGCGGUGAAAUGCGUAGAUAUUAGGAAGAACACCAGUGGCGAAGGCGGCUUACUGGACGGUAACUGACGUUGAGGCUCGAAAGCGUGGGUAGCAAACAGGAUUAGAUACCCUGGUAGUCCACGCCGUAAACGAUGAAUGCUAGGUGUCGGGAAGCACAGCUUUUCGGUGCCGCCGCAAACGCAUUAAGCAUUCCACCUGGGGAGUACGUUCGCAAGAAUAAAACUCAAAGGAAUUGACGGGGACCCGCACAAGCGGUGGAGCAUGUGGUUUAAUUCGAAGCAACGCGAAGAACCUUACCAAAUCUUGACAUCCCUCUGACCGGUACGUAAUGGUACCUUUCCUUCGGGACAGAGGAGACAGGUGGUGCAUGGUUGUCGUCAGCUCGUGUCGUGAGAUGUUGGGUUAAGUCCCGCAACGAGCGCAACCCUUAUUGUCAGUAGCCAGCAGGUAGAGCUGGGCACUCUGAUGAGACUGCCAGGGAUAACCUGGAGGAAGGCGGGGAUGACGUCAAAUCAUCAUGCCCCUUAUGAUUUGGGCUACACACGUGCUACAAUGGCGGAAACAGAGGGAAGCGAACGGGAGACCGGAAGCGAACCCCAAAAAUAACGUCUCAGUUCGGAUUGUAGUCUGCAACUCGACUACAUGAAGCUGGAAUCGCUAGUAAUCGCGGAUCAGAAUGCCGCGGUGAAUACGUUCCCGGGUCUUGUACACACCGCCCGUCACACCAUGGGAGCCGGAAAUGCCCGAAGCCUGUGACCGAACCUCUACGGAGGACGGAGCAGUCGAAGGUGGAGCUGGUAACUGGGGUGAAGUCGUAACAAGGUAGCCGUAUCGGAAGGUGCGGCUGGAUCACCUCCUUU